AAUUUAUUUAAAUAAGGGGAAAUUUUCAUUUUAUAAAGGUAAGCAUUGGUUGAACUUUGGUGCUAAUAUGUUAAUCAGUGACAAAGUGAGUGAAUGAUAAAAUAGAUUAUAAGAACAGUUUUUGGCAAUAGAAGAUUCUGAAGAAACAACUCUUGACAGAUCUGAUACUUUUUAAAGGAAAAAAACAGAAUAAGAGACUUUAAUAUCUGCUUGGGAAGGGGUGAAGAGUAAUCUCUAACUUGAGAUAGAAAAUUCAGAUUACCCUGAGGCAGUGAUACCUAGUAAGAGGACGGUCUAGCUUUUCUGGCAGUGGUUUCAGAUAAGUAUGUAGUUUAGAAAUAAUUUUAUCACCUUUCCCUUCUUGUCUCCAUAAAACUAACGAUAAUAAAACCAACUUCAACUAAAAGUAUUAAAGUAAUGCCUAGCAUAUGAUAGGAUUAACACAUACUCAAUAAACACAUAUUAAUUUUUAAGAAUACAGGAACUCCACAAUUCUUCUAAGGGAAAAGGUGGGACACUAGAAAAAGAAGUCAAUCAAAAAGUAUAAGCCAGGCAUGGUGGUGCAUGCCUGUACUCCCAGCUAUUUGGGGAUCACUUGUGCCCAGGAGUUUGAGGCCAGCCUGGGCAACAUAGAAAAAGACCCCAUCUCUUAAGAAAUAAAGUAUAAAAUAGGUCAUUAUUCCCAUAACCUUAAAAAAUAUCGACUAAAAGUUAUCCAUAUAAAGAUGCAGGUCACUAAAACUCUAAGGAUUCUUCUGGAUAUGUCUAGGAUGGAUACAAGACAGAGUGGCUUCCUAGAACCACCGGGGAUUGUGGACUGCUGCUCUAGUGAGGUCUUUGUCUCUUCAACAAACUGAGAUGACUCAUUAAUCUACAUAUUUCUGAGAUGCUACAUAUUUGGAAAAAUAUAAAAUACUAUAGGCAUACAAAUGUUGAGUAUGUAUUAUCAAAUUGUAAAAGUGGUGUUGAGUAUCUAGUGAUUCUUAUAUAUUCAUAUCCUAUCUUUGACUUUGGCCUGGAAACUCCAUAUUAUCAUAUUCUGAUUUAGCCUACACAGAAAUAUAGUAAUAACAGAGUUUGUGGCACCAAAGUAAGAUGAAAGGCUUUGAUGCUUUAGUCAAUAAAUUAUUUUUCCCUUUGCAUUGUGGGUAUAUUCAUCUUAGGGUCAGUUAAUUUUGUAAUCUUUCCUAGAUAUAUAUAAGGAAUAAUAAUUAGUCCAGGAAUUCUGCAGAAAAGUCCUAUGUUCCCUCACAGGGCAUGGGUAUGCAGUGAUAGCAGUGUCCACCUCUCCAAAAUGUAAUUGGACACAUCAUUUCACCUCAUAUUUGUAAUAUUUGAGAUUCUUUGUGCGAGUAAAAGAAAGAUUUGUUACAACAAUCCCAUUGCUUUAGAGUCACACCUCACAUAUUACCUGAAGAUAAAAGCCAUUUAAACUUCUUUUAACUUAGUAGGAUAGUUUAAAAAUUUCACCACUGUAGUCUGUUUGCCCUAACCCCAUAUGAAAAUUAGUCCUAAGGGGAACUAUGUUCAGGAAUUCAAGAAACCAAGAGAGAAAAACAGUCACACAAACCAUUCACCAGUGACAAAGGAGUCAGCAAACUGUUGGAAAACAGAGAGAAAUUGUAAUAAUGAAAAAAGGACAGAGUUUAGUGACCAAUCACUUAUUUUCUUUAAAAACACAUAACCACAUUGUGCAUUUAACCUACUUAUCAAGAAGGGAACUUCAUAAGUCAUAAGAAUUC
rnacentral:lncRNA from 10 species